rnacentral:lncRNA from 1 species
CUUUUUGUCCACAGCGGCAUACUGCGCGAAACCUCGUAGAUGUGAAUAUUAGAAAAUCGCGAAUGAGCAUUUAAGUUCCCGAACGUAUAUGCCGUGACGUGAAAUUGUAGAACCUUUCCCGAGUUCGCCGAGUUGAUGCGAGAAUACUCAAUGCUCUCCGUAACGUUCUCCGUUGAUUGUAGUGUAUGUUAAAUUAUGAGCCGAGAAUAAAAGACCCAAGCAUCGUGGGGGUAUCACAGAUUCCUUUAAAUGCGAGUCAGCGAUGCACAAUUACACAUUUGCCAGCUGUCCCAGGAUUGGCAGAAGACGAACGUAUCUCGUAUAAGAUUUUAGCCGAUAAACACUUUUUGCAAAUUGAAUUUUAGAGAACUUUACAAAUAAAUGACAGAGUGUUACUAAUUUGUUAAAUGGCCAAAUUUCAAAUGAGCUUUGCUUCGAUUACAAUUAAAGGUUUAAAAAGAGAUAUUGAUUCUCGUUUCUUUUGCGGGAAUUCUGGGACAGGCAGGAUAUCCGACCAGUUUGAGACUACUGCGUUUAAUUAGCGCUUUAAUACAACAUACAUCUCCAGAUAUAUGAAGAGAUAUUCAAUUCGACCUACAUAUAAUGCGGUAUAACUCUUAGCGAAGCUAAUGAAGAUUUGCGUGUAUAAAAUUCUAAUUUCCUUAUAACUAAGACUUAGGAAGCAAAGUCGUAUUUAACUAAUAGCAACGAGGGGACGAGCUUAGGUUUUAGGCGAUGUUUAUAACUGUAGAACCGUAGAAACGAGUGGAAGAGUUUGAAAGGUAACAUAACAGAGCCACUGGUAGCCGGCCUUCCGGCGAUGACUGACUGAAUGAAGACGAUGACUGAGGUAAACGUAAGGCUACGGAAAACAUCCGCUGGUCCUCGAAACAGUCACAAGCCACAAACGAGAGCCACGGAGAUGAGCGAUGAUUACCAACGAUUUCGGGAAAACGUGAGUCUGUUUCGUUUGAAAAGAGAGAAAUAAAGAUGUCACAUACCCUGCGGCAGCACCUUUUAACUGUCCUCAUUUUCUCGUUCGCAUCCUGGGAGAACAAGUAGAAUCCGGCCGUUCGAGACAACCGGAUUUGCAAGCCAGAAUCUUGGGUGAAUAUAUAUGUGGAUGGUUGAUGUCCGUGAACGUGCCUUCUUGGAUGGACAGAAAACGAACGAGCAAGUGUUGGCAAAGUUUUUGAGAUGCAAGUGGAAAGACGCGAAAGAGCGAGCGAGCGAGAGCGAAAGAAAGAAAGGUGAAAGGAUCUGAAGAUGAGAGAGUAAAAGGGGAGAGAGAGAGCGAGAGAGGAGUAUAUAUUUUUGCAGGAUAAUUUGGUGGGAUGAUGAUGAUAAUGAUGAUGAUGAUGAUGAUGAUGAUGCACUGCGCCGAGAGAAGUUGCGCUAGACAAGUGUGGAGCGAGUGCUUUUUGAAAGCGUGGGGGAGUUUUUUCAUUGUAAGAGCGCGACUCGUAAUCGGUGAUGGUUGAUCGCGAUUGAGCUGAUUAAUUCGUCUUCUUGCGAAAGAAGAGACAAAUGAUGCUUCUGAGACAGAUACGGAAAGUUACGUUUGGAAAAGUCUAUUUAUGUUUUGGAGAUGUCCUAUUGAUUUAGAGAUGUAACUGAUGACAUAAGAUGCGACGAAACAAUACACGCAAGAUUGAAAUAAUUAUUAAUAUUUGACAUAUUGAACAUGUGAAGACUUUCAGGAGGCAUAAUGAAUAUUUAAUCCCAAGAAAGAUCGUAUAAAUAACAUAAUAUAUAUCAU